rnacentral:tRNA from 1 species
CCCCCAUAGCUUACCCAAAGCAUGGCACUGAAGAUGCCAAGACGGUACCUAC